AAUAGAUACCCGGGUAGUCCACGCCGUAAACGUUGGGCGCUAGGUGUGGGGAACCUUCCACGUUCUCCGUGCCGUAGCUAACGCAUUAAGCGCCCCGCCUGGGGAGUACGGCCGCAAGGCUAAGACUCAAAGGAAUUGACGGGGGCCCGCACAAGCGGCGGAGCAUGCGGCUUAAUUCGAUGCAACGCGAAGAACCUUACCUAGGCUUGACAUAUACCGAAAACUCAUGGAGACAUGGGGUCCGCAAGGACGGUAAACAGGUGGUGCAUGGUUGUCGUCAGCUCGUGUCGUGAGAUGUUGGGUUAAGUCCCGCAACGAGCGCAACCCUCGUCCUAUGUUGCCAGCGGGUAAUGCCGGGGACUCAUAGGAGACUGCCGGGGUCAACUCGGAGGAAGGUGGGGAUGACGUCAAAUCAUCAUGCCCCUUAUGUCUAGGGCUGCACGCAUGCUACAAUGGCCGGUACAAAGGGCUGCGAUACCGCAAGGUGGAGCGAAUCCCAAAAAGCCGGCCUCAGUUCGGAUUGGGGUCUGCAACUCGACCCC
rnacentral:rRNA from 1 species